CACAGAAGUUAAACUUCUUUCCAGGGAAGAAGGGCGGGGAUGUCAGGGCUGGAGAGUGCCCGUGUCCUUCUGUGUGCAUUGGGCUCCUUCCUCCUUAAUUCUCUGCUUUCCACUUUUAGGCUGAACUCCAGUGCACCCAGUUAGACUUGGAGCGGAAACUCAAGUUGAAUGAAAAUGCCAUCUCCAGGCUCCAGGCUAACCAAAAGUCUGUUCUGGCUCCUUGAAUGUAUUGAGGCCUCUCCUCUCUGUACUAUUUCUGCUUGUCAUCAUUUUCGUGGUGUCGGUGUCAGAGGUCAAAGCAGUGGCUGAAAUGCAGUUUGGGGAACUCCUUGCUGCUGUGAGGAAGGCCCAGGCCAAUGUGAUGCUCUUCUUAGAGGAGAAGGAGCAAGCUGCGCUGAGCCAGGCCAACGGUAUCAAGGCCCACCUGGAGUACAGGAGUGCCGAGAUGGAGAAGAGUAAGCAGGAGCUGGAGACGAUGGCGGCCAUCAGCAACACUGUCCAGUUCUUGGAGGAGUACUGCAAGUUUAAGAACACUGAAGACAUCACCUUCCCUAGUGUUUACAUAGGGCUGAAGGAUAAACUCUCGGGCAUCCGCAAAGUUAUCACGGAAUCCACUGUACACUUAAUCCAGUUGCUGGAGAACUAUAAGAAAAAGCUCCAGGAGUUUUCCAAGGAAGAGGAGUAUGACAUCAGAACUCAAGUGUCUGCCAUUGUUCAGCGCAAAUAUUGGACUUCCAAACCUGAGCCCAGCACCAGGGAACAGUUCCUCCAAUAUGUGCAUGACAUCACGUUCGACCCGGACACAGCACACAAGUAUCUCCGGCUGCAGGAGGAGAACCGCAAGGUCACCAACACCACGCCCUGGGAGCAUCCCUACCCGGACCUCCCCAGCAGGUUCCUGCACUGGCGGCAGGUGCUGUCCCAGCAGAGUCUGUACCUGCACAGGUACUAUUUUGAGGUGGAGAUCUUCGGGGCAGGCACCUA
rnacentral:lncRNA from 1 species